rfam:Callithrix jacchus chromosome 2, whole genome shotgun sequence
AUCCUUUUGUGGUUGGUAAGCAUGGUAACUAGGUUUUCAUACUCACCUGUGAAAUGUGCCUCCUUCCAGGCUUGUUACCAUGUAGGCAUAUUACCCAUCUGAUG